UCCCUGGUGGUCUAGUGGCUAAGGAUCCUGCGCUCUCACCACCGUGGCCUAGGUUGGAUUCCUGAACAGGAAA